CAGAUUGUUCAAUGGUUGUCUCUGCCUGAUAGACUCUCAACUCUAGCUCCCAAACCCAAGGUCGGGGAGUUGUGUCUCUGUCUGUUGAGACUUGGUGCUCCUUUCUCACAGAUAGUUGGACGUCAGCGAUGCAGGUGUGAGAAUGUAAAAAUCUUCACACACACUGCGACAGGGAGGAGAUGGUGCAUGUAAUUUGAUUGGGUUAGAAAGACAUUCCACCCUAGUCGGACAGAGAAGCUAAAAGGCAGAAGCAACUUGAGGAUCGUGGGCUCUUUGCAUCACACCUUCGUGGUGUGUGCACUGAUCUCCCCAGCUGGUUUUUGGUUUGUUGAUGUGCACGAUCAACAUCCAUGCUUUUUAUUUGCUUUCCCCAUUAUUUUUAUUUUCUUUAUUAUUUCAAUAAAUCGCACAAAAGGACAACUCUCUCUCAUCUACUUCUUUAUGGAAAAUUUCCACCACAGAAAUUGGCGUCACGAACAGGAUCCCGCGGCAGGUCGUCUGGACGGUGUGACCAGGGACGAUAGUCCUGAGGACUAGGGUCGCUCAGCCUCCAAACCUCUACAGACAUUCAGAGCUGGGAGGACUGCUCACCCGUCUGGAUCGCCUCUGACGAGAUCCACGAACUCAGAUUCAAACUCAAAUCCUAAUUUGGCUCGGCUCGCUCCACACUUCCCUCUGUGAAAACAUGAUGGAGACAGAUGCAGGACGUGGGUCCUUUCGUGAACAGAUGUGAACGGGGUGGAGACUGGUGAACGACUUCUGACCCCAUAGGACGCUCUGACCCAACACUCAGCCUUACAGGAAGCCCUGCUUCCCUGUGGCUCACACACAGACAUGAUGUAGGUUUGAUCAGAGGAUGUGAACCAGUGGUCAUCACACCUAAAUCUGACCACAGACCAUGUGAACAACAACACCCUCUUAAAGGAAGCCAUAGAUGGUGUUACUGCAGACACCACUAAGCUACUGAAACAUUGGAUGCUACAGGCCACAAAGAGAGCCUGUCUAAAUUACAGGUUGUUC